GGAGCGGGAACCUCAGCCAGAUGGUGUGCUCGACCUCUCCAAGAGGAACACUGCCUGCCCAGUGACAUCAUCACCAGCCAAUCACAAAGCCUCAGGGAGGCAGCGCAGGCAGAGGGAGGAGUACAUUGAGAGGAGCUGGGAGCUGUCUGAGGGGUUGCUGUCCAAGGCCUUGAAGGAUGUACGCUCAGGGAGGUUGCAGGAACAACGGGCUUCGCU